UCCAGUGAGCUACAUUUAAACCGAGACCAGGAGGGGCUGAUUUGUUUUGGCGCAGGGAACUGAGAAGGAGACGAGCCACCGAGGUCUCCUUGCUCCUCCUUGGAGGCUCCUUAACUUGUCCUUGCUGUCGCCGGCCCCGGGGACCAGCUUACUUUGGCCCGGGUGGGUGAGCCCGGCUGCCCCCCCCCCCCCCCCCCCCCAGCCGCCGCCUGCGCAGCCCCGGCGCUGGGAAAUUUCGGUGCGAGCCGUGUAUGGGAGCGGGCGGUUGCAGGAGGUCCAGAGGUGGGGUUUUUUCCGUGUUUGUUGGCUUUUUCUUCCCCAGAAGUUAGAUAAAUUAUCGUCUGUGCGGCUCGCCGGUGCCUGUGCUCCUCAGCUCUUUUCAUACCAAAUGAAGUCCCUUCAAUUCUGGGAGCUUUCUGGUGAUUCCAAAGCGCAUCUGUGAGCUCACUUGGGGUUACACUCCUUGAGGUAAGGUCAUGAUAGUAGAAACUUAUUACUACGUACAAUAGAUGGGUGCCUGGAGAAGCUGUCUGGCUGAGCAAGAGGACAGCAGGAAAGAUUUGGGGUUUUUAAAUCAUUACUUUUGUAGACGAUCACUUUCCAAAGCAUCCCUGCGCUUCAGAGACAACGUGGUCAGGGCCGCUGCUGGCAUCCCUGUAACUUCUUUCCAAGCAUGCAAACCUCAGCAGGACCACCGGAGCCGCCGGCUGCGUUUGAGGAGUGCGUUGGCAGCUUGCUUGUGUUCGUGCAUGGAGGACAGGGAGUUACCAUGGGCCAGGACUUGCGAUCCUUUACACAGGAGCCAAUAUUAAGUACUUCUGUUAAAAUUCAUUUCAAAGUGAGUUUUAUCACUGUGACACGUGGAGGCUCCCCUAAAGGCAGGGUCCUGUGCAACUCAGCAUUGGCGAUAGAUGAGAAGCUGUUCCAUGACGGGAAGCUUAUACUCCAGGUAGGUGAAAAGGGGUUUUUCAGGGCUGGUGUGGAGGAAACUGUAUAGUAAUUCCUCUGUCACUAGCCCCAGUGCACACCUACACCAGGCGAUGCUGAUAUUCCCUGCGACAUCACCACCUCCCAGAAGCUGAGCCCCAGGACCGUGAAGCACCACUGCACCUCCCCGGUGAGUGCCGGAUGGAAGCACGAGGUGCUGCAGCGAGUUGCAGGAAUCAACACCAAAGUUUGUAGCAGAAAUUGAAUCCUGAAUUUCUGAAGCCAAAUACUGGGAUGAGCCAGGUUGCAAAACUCUGUGAUCUAGGCUUUUAGCCCCUGCUACUAGCCUGCAUGAGAUUUAAGAGGUGACUUCUCUUGCCUGUCCGUUUUAUCCUUCCAAAAGACCUUUGUCCCCCAUAGCAAAGGCAUGAGAACAAAGUCUAGCAACCACGUUUGUAACCUGACGUACUAGCUGAAAUCACCAGCUUCUGCAGAGUAUAUUAGUACAGUGGGUUGUACUCUGUGAUGACCAUGGAGGAGACACACUGCUACUUCUGCCAAGACCACAGCAAGGCAGCAGCCUCCAGCCUGGGGACAGGCAGGGGCAGUAAGCCCUGACACUGCCCGAGCACGAGCACCCGGAGCUCGUGAAUCCCUCCUCGGGCAGGGUUUGAAGAGCAGCUGGGAGAUAAGUUCACCUUUCGGCUGUACCCUCCUGGCAGACGGUGAGCUGAGCUCUCCUGAAUGUUCGUUCAAAGACUACGAGCAGCAGGGAGAAGAAGGUGGCUUAUGAGCUCCUUGGGUAGCAGGGUGUACGAAACCAAGGGGACUUUUCCAGGGUAUGCUACAUCUCAGCUCAUGGUGGGAUGCGAUGUAGGUUUUGACAUCGGGACAAGGAACUCUUUGCAAGCCAACCUCUGGCAGAGCUUGGUUAGGCAGCCCAGGAAAGGCAGAGGCGAGAGAGGGGAAUGUGACUGUCCCCUAUAAACACGUCCGAGAAGAAAGAGCGGUUUAAGGGGAAGGACAGAACGGGUGCAGGACAGAUGAGCAUGGGCUGGCCGUGAGCAAACACGAGCUGGAAGUUGGAACAAGGUCUCCAGCCAUCGGUACGCGAUGCUCUGCAGCAAGGGUGAUAGAAAUCACGCUAAUUUUACAAAGGAGCUCAGCACGUGUACGAAAGGGCUGAGAUGGGGUCUUCCCCUGCUCUAACCCUUAGUAUUUAAGCAUCACUUUUUAUGAGGUCUGCCUGCACAGGGUCAGGCAGGCACGACACCGAAGGCAGAACUUCCCUGCCCGUGAGUCUGUAUUUGCCCUUCCAGAAGUGGCACACUUGCAUGCACCAGAGGCAUCAGCCAUGUCAGACAGUCUUUCGGGGGGGUCUUCCCCCCAUUUUGUUUUCUACAUUCCUUUUGCUGGUGAACCGUUACCGUUGUGGCCGAGGCAGUUUGUCUGAUGCCUCUUGGGUUUGUACUGCAGCCAGCGCUUCUGAUUCUGUCUGGCCACAUAUUGUGUUUGGCUGGUAGGCUCACUCUGAAAAUUCCUCUUUUUUUCCCUUUUUUUUUCCUCUGUGGCAUUUUAAUAUCUCACAACAGGCAUCUUUACAAAGAGAUUAAAGGUCUAAAAGCAAACAGCUGUUUCAUAGGCACGCUUUAACACAGGUAACAAAAACGAACCCCUUGUAAAAGAGAAUUUGGGGAGAAUUUCUUGAGUGUGGGUAAUGCUUUUAAAACUCUUCUUCCACAACAGUGAGGAAUUAUGAACAAUUCCUGAGCUAACAUUCAUGCAAACCAGCAGGAAUUAUUCAGGUAAUUAAAGACUUAAAACCAUUUUAGGAGAAACUAGGAGAGAGUGAAGCUGUGUCAACCUCGAAAAGUUUCUACAGUGAUGACAGAAAAUCCAUGCACUUUUGGAUGGGGAGUGGAUGCAGUUCAGCUACAGGGGGAGGAAGAAGAAGAGCCCCAAAUCCUUUAUGCUAUUCAUUUAUUUAACCCUUUGGUAGAAAAACCAUUGGAAAAGUAGUUGGGGCUGUAAUGGAACUGGCUCGGCACCACAGUCCCAGCCUUUUUAUUAAGCUUUGUGAAGGCACUUCAGAGCCUUGCUUGGCCCUGGGGAGAGGGGAGAGCUGGAUCGUUGUGUUUGCACAGCCAAGAGACUCCUGCAAGGAGCAGGGAUCCCUUAGCAAGGAGGGCAGGAGUGGGUUUGUCCUACUGUGGACUUUUGUAAAUGAACUUUUAACACAACCCCCUUCCUUUCAGUGAUUUAGAGUAGAUUUUUUUUCCAUCCCUCACCUGACAGGAUUUUUUGGGAGGGGUACAGUUCCCGUAUUCUCCCAUUCUCCAUUAAACCUUUCCAGCUGGUAAGUCUGGGGAGCUGCUGGCCUGCCGGGGAGGCUUUUCCUCCUGCAUCCAUCCUCUCCUGCCUGGCACACGGGGUGGGAUGUGUUACCAGGUGCUGGCAGCCUCGCAGGGGACAUCAGGAGGGACCACAGCACAGAGCCCUUCCCAAGGGCUGGUUUUGGGAAAUGCCAGCCUGUCCCAAGGGCACGGAGGACUCCUCACCCCAAGGGAACAGCGUGGUCCCGGCUGCACGAAGACGGCUCGGCGUGGAGGGGCUGAGGCUUCACCGCGGCCGUGCCGAAAGGUGCUCGGUUACAAGGACUCCGGGGCGGUGGUGAAACGAAGCGCAGGGGGACAGCAGCGUGGAGGGGGAUUAGCUGAUUAAUGCACAGCUUGAUUAGGAAGUCGGAGCCAGGCAUGCGAGCCCUGCUCUCGUCCUCUCCCAUUCUUGCUGCUGACCCCUCUUCGCCAUGACCGCGAUGUAGGAAGCCGCUGGAGUCCACUAUAGGAAAAGUAAAUAUUGUCGUUUCAAAUAGAGAAUGGUUUAUUCUAUAGCAGAACAGAGGGUGCCUUCUCUUUGAGAGGUCACACUGAGCCUGGGGGGGUCUGUAGCCCACAGAGCUGCCAGCGAGGCUGCUCCUGAUAGUCGCAAGCCCUGGUGCCAGGCGUGCCACCUUAAACCCACGGGUGACAAGGGGGAUGUGCGUGGGGCCGGCGUGAACACGUCCAGGGGCUCCAGAGACUGUCCAUCACCUCCUUCCUGCAAGCAGGUCCUUUGCUAGCGUUUAGGCUCAGUUUUAAGCAAGGUGCCCAGGGCGGGAUGGAGUCACCGCGGUGCGACGGGCGUUGCGGCAGGUGCAGGCGCAGAAGCCAGCGAUGCUGGGGGAGAGGAGGGGUGCGGGCUCUGCCCUUCCCCACUGAAGCCAUGCUACCCUUUGUAUAAUCCCUUUAGCUUCAAUGGCACCGUGGUGAUUUACAGCACUAAUGCUUUGAUCCAGAACACGUUGGACCAUGGGACGUGAAUUAAAAUAUGAGAGAUGACUGUAAAGCACAAGUUUCCAUUCGUGGCCAGCUAUUUCGUGAAGACGUGACCGCAACCAGGUGCGAAGGUCUUGCAGGAGAGGAGGGAAAACCAAGCCAGUCUAAACAGAUUUGUUAGAACGUGAAUGGGAGCGCAGCAGCGUAAGUGCUAUUAAUAGGAUUUACACAGAUUAGUAAACUAAUCUGUGCAUUUCAGAUUGGAUUUCAUAUUAUGGAAAAGAAAAUUAAGCCACAUACCAUGCAGACUUUCCAGGCAGUGGUUUGCAAAUGUGAUCUAUUUGCUGGUAGAAGCGGCUGCUCAGAAAAGCGGUGGCAGCUCCAUCGGGUGGGUCAGUGACACCCGCUGUGAGCCCAGGAGGGGGGAGCGUGUUGUAGGGUGCAGAGCUGUGCUGGCGGAUUCAGGAGGCAGACAACGAAAGGAGCAGCACCGCCGUCCGUUCAUGCAGUGGCUCUUAAAAAGCACUGCCAGGCGGUAAAGCAGUGUCCAGGCUUGGCUCCAUCACCACUGGUGCAGAGCAGUCCUUCCUGGCUCAGCUAAAACGAAUAGGGAAGGGAGAUGUGAAGAAGAAAGGCUCGUAAAUAACUUUCCCUUCUCUGUACGUGGCCUGGAGAGGAGCCGUGUUGGGCAAAUGUUGUUGAAGUGGGAAGGAAAAGGCCUCUUCAAAGGGGAAGGGCAGAGUGCUGUUGCUGUGCCCUGCUCACGCUCCUCCUGGUGCCAGCGUACGGGAGGUGGGAGGUGGGAGGUGGGCAGGAAUAGGGUGCUGGGAGGCAUUAGCACAGCUUAUGGAGGGACCCAGGCCAAUUUUGAGAACUCACCUGUGUAAAGGGUAAGUUUAAUAGUAUCGUAACGCAUUAUAUAUGUAAUAUGUAUCUUAUAUAUUUCAUAUAUAUUUAAAUAUAUAUUAUAUAUAUUGUUUGUUCCAUCAGUAGGGUCUAGCCUCAGUAUUUCGACUGUGCCAUCCCAUCUGGGUGAAUCUCAGCCUGGCUGUACCUCUCCCCAAGAGGGAGGGGAGUGCUGCUACUGCUGUUGUACUGAUGGGGCGAUGGAAAUCCAGAUAUUUAGGAACUGGACUUUUGGUUCCCAGCGGUUAACAUCAGCUAAUCUUGGGAGAUAGUUACAGCUCAGGCUGCCUCUGAGUCAGGCUUGAAUAAUAAAGGAUAACCCAUCCUGAUGUUUGUGCUCCUUCUUUUUUUGCAAAAAUACAAGCAUUUGGAACAUUUCAACCCCCAUUACAGUCAGGGCCAGGGGGAAAACAUCAUUACCCUUUCAAAUUACUGUUUUAGGCCAAAGCUUCAAAACUCAGAGUGAGCUGAGCAACCCAGUAAUUUUUCUUCUUGCAGCAUCUUGUUAUGUUGCAGCAAACAAAAAUCCUGAAGUCGAUUUCAUUUGUCUGGGAGAACAAAUGCUUCAGAGUUUUCUGGGACCAGGACUGAAGGUGGUAGUUAAUAAAAGGCACGUGAUGAAGGUUUCUCUCCCUAUUAGCCUGUCUCCCUUCCCACAGCCCUUGAGGUUCGUCUUGUCUUUGCUAUUGGUGAUAACUCAGCUGACAACCAUUUGUUACAACUGGGAGCCAUUUGCUUGUGAUAAUUACGGCUACACUGCAAUGCAGGAACUUAAGAAUGAAGAUGAGCAGGAAGCGGUGGCCAUAACCCCCCCACCUACUUCCCUUCUCUCGCCAGCUACUAAAUAUUGCAAAGCUCAUAAAUUGUGGAAGUUGGCAAAUCAGAACAUUGCUUAAGUUUAAAACUGAGACCUCGGGCCAGGAGAUUUCAAUCCUGUAUUACCUGGAAUAUAUCAUUACUGACAGACUCGCUGGGAUUCGGUUUCUACCAGCUAUAAAGUGGGAUUCUCAAAUUAUGUCAUGCCAGCCUAGUUGCCUUUGAUGACAUGAUACACCAUUUGGAAAGGGAAAAGCCAUUAGACGUGACACAGCUUGGCAUCCAUCAGCCUUUUGAUGCUGUUCCAUGCCCUGAUGAACUGAGGAAAUGCGAUCUGGGCAAAGCCCCUGUAGGAUGGGUGGGAAAUUGCUCUGAAACAGUGAUUAUCUUGUGGUUCCAGGUCAAAAUACCACAACCUCUUAAGCAAGGGUUUCUACUCAGCACGGUGCCGGACAGUAUUUUCAGGAACAUCCUGGAUGUUGGAAGAGGGUGUCCUUAUUAAAUACAGAAACUACACCAAGGUGAGAAAAACUGGAAGACAAGCUGACAAUUCUGCACGAGUUUCACAGGGUGGAGACUUGGGUCCUGAAACACGGUCUGUGGUGUCUAUCAUGGAAGUAGAGCUUGCAAGGCAGGAGGCAUUUCUUCCACUGGACUUGGCUCUGGUAAAACCUAAGCAGGAGUGUUGUCUAGUUUUGGGUUUAGGUAUGGCUCUCCUAUUGCCUUCCAGGCUUGUGAGUCUGUGUUAAUAGCAGCUGCUUAUUUCACAGGGCUAUUUAAUUUAUGUAAGAAGAUCCUAAGAAUUGAGAAUAGUUAAGAAAUGAACAGAAAUAGGCUCUACACUGUACUUUAAUCUGAGGGGCUAGUCCUCCAGUCCAUCGGCAAAUGAGUAUUCCUUCUUCAUCGUGAGUAUCAUUCACCUGAACAAGUCCUGCUUUUGUAAUCUAAACUGUAAAGAUUCUGAUCCUUGUGGGGAAAUUUGGAAGGAACAGGAGCACUUCUGAGCCAUGUAUAUGUUAGCAAUACUUGCUGCCAUUACCGGGUAACAAACAUAAACCAAAAGUAACGGGUCAAGUAGUCUCAUUUGCUGGGACUGACAUUUCCAAAGGAGCGGGAUGAAGCUCUCCUGGCUUGAUACUCAGGUUAGCUCUGCCUUUUGUUUGCACACACACCGCCCCCCCCAGUAGCUAUAAGAAGCUAUUCCUAGAAGCUAAGGCCAGAAGGGGUUUACCGAGACCGUCAGCCCCAACUCCGUGCGUAGCAGGAGGUGCCAAAUGUCCGCCUGGCAUCCCUCUACCAGGCCAGUAAAUUGUCGGCAUUGCCCCGGCCGAGCCCGGGGAGGGCUGGCUGGCACGGUCCCUUCUCCGUCCUGGGACCAGGCGUCCUGCAGCGCUGCCGGCCAGUGCAAGGCGACCGUGCCUGGUAUGCGCAGCAUGUGCAGCUCUCCCGGGAGCGCUUCCAGCCAGGCUGGGCUCUUCUUGAUGAAGCGAUACCUGGAAAUAGGCUGCUGUCGGAGCCCGCUUCCAGGUACCAUUGGUUUUGUCAGUCCUGCGUCCCACCUCCCUCACGUCGCAGAGGUCCGCAGGGCUGAGGGGCUACAGGGAAGAUGGCAAAUGAGAACAGCCCCUAAACAACCCCCUGGGAAUUUAUCUGGGGGGGGGGGGGAUCCUCAGGGGUCCCAAGCAAAAGGAGCCACGGGGAAGAUGCUUUGGGGGGCUCAGCUGAAGCACCUCUGUGCUCGUUGACCUGGACGCUGGACCUGCUGUGGUCUCUCACCCAGCCCUCAUCCUCCUGGGCAGACGUGUAAAAGUGCGCCUCGCUUCUCUGGCCUGGUGUUGGCUGCUUUCUUGGCAAAUCUCAGGGAGACCAAGCCCUGCAGGUGACGUAAGAAGCAGAAACACCGCGAACAAUGUUUUGACGCUCUGGGGAGAACAUUAUUACAUUUAUAGGCAAGAGGAGGAGAAGGGCUACAACAGCCUUCAAGAAGCUAAUGUCAUUCCCUACAUAGGGGUGUUAUGUGCGUAAAUCCCUCCACACGCAGAUGAUAUCACGCCCCUAGAGUUUGCAGCUCUCUUACUGGUAUCGCUCGAGCAUGCUUCUCUUCCAGGCAUGGCACUAACAGGGCAGUUAACCCCUGCUGCCUCUGCUGCUCUUUGGCCACAAGCUCUGAGCAAGGGGACAACAUGCUCUUGCGCUGUUUAGCAGCAGGCCAAGAAUCUGCACCCAUCUGAGGGUCUUGAGCCUCAGCCUGGUUCACUCAUUGAGUUUUGGGACGGGGGCUCUGUUAUAUGUUGCCUGCAAGAGGGAGCAGAGGCUGCCUCUUCUGCAACUUCAUGGUGAACCUCAAAAUAAAGAAUUUUUUUUGAGAGAGACUCUUAAUCUAGUCAGUGGUCACUUCCACCUGCAUGCAUACAACACAACAGAUGAUAGUGUUUUUUAACACAGACAACCUAUAGAUUUCUAUGUCCCUUGCAGAUGUGCUUGGGCUGGUAUAGAAAUUGUUGCCUUCCAGAACCACCUUCUGAUCCCCCUGCCUGUCCUUGUUUGCUUAGGCACAGUAAAUAGCAAAAUCCCCAGCAUCUUCCUAGGACAUGCAUCCUAGGACAUGAGUUAUAAUUUGUCCUUGAUUUAUCAUUUUAAGAAACCACUGCCUUAGGACACGCAAGAGCAUGCACAGCUCAGGCUCUGGACUAACUCGUCUUCACCUCCCGUGAGCAUCUCUCUCCCUCAGCUCCUCGGCCUUGGUGGGAGAUGAGUCAAACCUUUCUCAGCUUGCCUUGAUCUGGAAGUGGGUGGCUUUGGAGUCCUUCAGGGCCCACAUGUGCAUCACCCUGAUGGGGCGAUUCACGCAGGAGCGGUUUUUCUGGAGCCUGAGCGUUUGCAGGCUCAGUCAUCCCGGUCCAGGGCCAGUCUAGUUAUCGACAGGGCUUUGCUGGAGGCUUACGUUGCCGUUGGUCAGCAUCAGAAGGCGGCUGUAAAUGCAGUAAAUAAAUGAAUGAAGCAAAUUCAGCUUUGGUGUAAGCAGCAAGUUCUCCUGCUGCUGUCAGGGGGCAUUGCAUCAGAGCCGGAUCGGGCUCCUGGGGAGGCGGCGUGAGCCAGCGGGCAAAGCAACAGGGGGAGUCAGAGACCUGGCUUUGCAACCUGCCUCUGCCACCCACUGCCCGCAUCGCCCCGGGCAAAUCGCCUCUUCUCCCCUCCCAGCUUGGAUCGCUUGUAUUUCUGUAUACUGUAAGUUCGUUCCUCAAGGGAGGGGCUGCAUUUUACAGCUGCAAGCGGUAUAAGGGAUACCACUAACACCAAAAUAAUUGGCUGUCAGUUUGCAGAGUAGAAAAGAAAAUGGUGCGGUGUAACAUUCUGGAGUCCUUCUGGGUAAUAUAAGAUCUAUUGCAAAGCACUUUGGCUGCAACAACAAAGCUUAUUGAUUAGCCCGAAGUAUUCCAAAUUGGGUCUUUCUGCCCGAGAAGUAGCAGGAUGAAGAAUUAAAGUACUUACACAUGAGAAUAUUGUACAUGAGUUAUUAAGUAACAAUCAGCUCUACUCCAGCGCUGCUCAGUUCCUCUGGACUGCAUGUAACUUCUGAACGUUUUAUCUUUUUCCUUUGGCUUUUGCAGGCGUGUGCCAGCUUCUGCAGCAUAUAAACUAGGUGCUAUUUUUAUUGAAUCUGGCUUUAAUGUAGUAGAUUUUUCACACGUGUGUUGGUUUUUUAUUGUUGGUCUCAUUCCUGAACUUUCUGGCACCUCUAAGUGUAAAGUCAGUUAUGCGCACAUUGUUUGGCAGAUGAAUUCCUGUUUCUGGGAAUCAUUUUCCUUCUAAAACGUAUUUUUAUAUUAAAAGUGUGAUCUGUAUCCAUAACCAAGAUAUACUGUCCUAAGACUCCAGCCCAAAGAUUUCUGCAGCCAGAGAUCACUACAACAGGGGAUGCAGUCCUGUAAGGAGACCUCCGCUUUCCAAGCCGUGAGCAUUUAUAUUAAGAUCUUGUUUUACUGAUUCAACCUCUGCCUCUUGGAGCAGGAAAAUUCCCUUCUGAUCUGGCACUGGGGAAAAUCCAGCCAGAAACAGAGGAUAAAAAGUGCUGUCUUCCAACGUUGCCUCCCUUUCCAGCUUGUCUCCCUGCUAGAUCAAGAGCAACCGCCCGUCUCGCCGAGCCUCCCUACUACCAGCUUUAUCCCAGCGACUGCCUCGGCAGCCCCCGGUCCUCCCUCCAGCAUCCCCAGGUCCCGUGUGAAAGGCGGGGGCUCGGGGAGCCAGCUGCCCACCCUUCCGAAGGUGCUGUCCCCCUUUUCUCCAUCUGUGCACAAGCUGCCAGGGAAGAAGUAACCGUGGCUGUGUGUGGUUUUCUCGCCCAGGGUGACCUGGAACACAUCUGCAAAGCCCUCCAAAGUAGCAGGAAUGCACUCCGUUAGGACAUGAUUCAUCCUGCAUACCGCAUGGGUGGCUGCUCAGGGAGAAUUUUGACAUUUGCAUACGCCGAGACUUUCCACUUCUUGGUUGCCCUCAAACCCCUGCACUUUGUCUGGUUGAGCGCACGGGGGCUGCGCAGCCAGAAACCCCCUCCCGGAGGGGAUCUCCCCUGGCUGGAGCCGAUCCAGCGGUGGUGGUUCUCCCCCCGGCUGCGUCAUGGGGCAGAAACGAGAGGAGAAGCUGCUCACAGCCAGGUCGAAUGAAGGCUUUAGAGCCUCAGCCCCUGCUCCAAGCAAAGCUGGGACAGAGCUGCUGGCCAGGGAUCCUUCAGGAAUUUGGUAUCUGCAGGGCAGGAAAAUAUUAUCACAGUCCUACCGCUCAGGCAAAACCAAAGCACGGCAAAGGGAAGUGCUAUGAACAGGAGGACUGAGUCACGCCCACUGCUUCUGGGAAGGAAAAGGAGUUGGGCAACAAGGCAAUUGUCUCUCUCUACCUUAGGGCUGCUCCUGGGUAACUGGAUUUACUUCGGCAGCUGCAGAGUGCGAGGCGGGUCAACCCCAGGCAGAGCGGGGAGAGAUGCUCCCAGGGCCGGGAGACGGCUCGCUGGGUUUUCCCAUCUGGCCCGCCAUCAGCGGCACUGCGUGGAGCGAGCGGGACGCGGCUGCGAUAAAUGGGAAAGAUGGAGGAAUGGUGAAUAACCGUGAGGAAAGGUAAUGUCUUAGUGAUUAAAAAUAUAAUCGGUAUAUACAACUGGACCUGACUAUUUGAAAAAAUUAAUCUCACAGACCUAAUCUUGCUUCCUGUAGCCUAAAUACCAUUUAAGUGGUGAAAGGGUGUUUUCCUGCUAGCAUGUGCAGGCUCUUAAGUAUCUCUAAUGUAUAUAUAGCUCCAGUGAGGGAAACUAUUUCACCUGUACAGGUUAGUCUGCUUGAACUUACUGUCAUUCACUUUGGCAUCAAAACCGUAACUAGGCAAUCCUGGUACUUGGAGCACAGACCUGAAGUAAUAUGGCAAUGUAUUUAAAUCCUUUAACAUCAAGGGAACGUAAAUUUCAGGCUGUUCUCAAAAGUCUGCCAAAACCAGGUCUGACACCAAGUGCAACGUUUUAAAGAAAAAUUUCAAGAAACACAAAUUUAGCGAAUAAAUAGGUAUUUACCUACCCCAAAAGAAACCCUGACACAGAAAGCAUCCCAAUGCCAUGGGAGCCGUGAGUAAAUACUGUGUAGUCCUAACUAGUAGGUGGAAAUACAUUUAAACAGUUAUCUAUCUAAUUAUGGUAUAAAUUUGGUUUGAGACACAGAGUUAAUAGCUAGGUUCGAUAUGAAAUAGAAGAUUUAUGGUUUUUAAUUUAGUAUUUUAGAAGCAAAGUUAGGGUCUGACAAAACCCACUCAAGUCAACAGAAAGUCUCAUUCUAGCUUAAGUAGGCUUUAGAUCAAUUCCCUGGUGAGCACAGGCAUUCCUAGUUGCCACCACCUUC